rnacentral:rRNA from 1 species
AUACGGAGGGUCCGAGCGUUAAUCGGAAUUACUGGGUGUAAAGCGCGCGUAGGCGGUUUGCUCAGUCGGAUGUGAAAGCCCAGGGCUCAACCUUGGAACUGCAUACGAUACUGGCAAACUAGAGUGUGAGAGAGGAUAGUGGAAUUUCCGGUGUAGCGGUGAAAUGCGUAGAUAUCGGAAGGAACAUCAGUGGCGAAGGCGACUGUCUGGCUCAACACUGACGCUGAGGUGCGAAAGCGUGGGUAGCAAACAGGAUUAGAAACCCUAGUAGUCC